AGCAGCCGCGGUAAUUCUAGCUCCAAUAGCGUAUAUUAAAGUUGUUGCAGUUAAAAAGCUCGUAGUUGAAUUUCGGGACUAAUAUGUCGGUCGUGCCUCGGUACGAACUGGUUUAUUGGUUUCUCCUUUCUGAAGAACCAUGAUGUCAUUUAUUUGGUGUCGUGGGGAAUCAGGACUGUUACUUUGAAAAAAUUAGAGUGUUUAAAGCAGGCUCACGCUUGAAUACAUUAGCAUGGAAUAAUGAAAUAGGACGUUUGAUUCUAUUUUGUUGGUUUCUAGGAUCGACGUAAUGAUUAAUAGGGAUAGUUGGGGGCAUUAGUAUUCAAUUGUCAGAGGUGAAAUUCUUGGAUUUAUUGAAGACUAACUACUGCGAAAGCAUUUGCCAAGGAUGUUUUCAUUAAUCAAGAACGAAAGUUAGGGGAUCGAAGACGAUCAGAUACCGUCGUAGUCUUAACCAUAAACUAUGCCGACUAGGGAUCGGAUGAUGUUAAUUUUUUAAUGACUCAUUCGGCGCCUUACG
rnacentral:rRNA from 1 species